rnacentral:rRNA from 1 species
AAGCUAAACGUAGAUGGAGCACGGUGGGUGGUCACUGAAUAUUUUGACGAGCACAAUCACGAACUCAUAAAGAAGUUCGACCUGGUAAAAUUUCUGACCGCCCACAGAGGAUUCACCCCCCUCGAGAAGAAAUUCAUGAAGCUGCUACAUGAUUGUAACGUCGGUCCAUCAAGAAUGGUCCAGAUACUAUCACUCGUCCACAGCAAAAAAGGGAAUCUGAGUAGCAUGCCCUACAUACCAGCUGACAUCACAAACCUAAAGGCAAAGUACCGUAGAGAGAGCAAGUUGGCUGACAUAGAGGCCACAAUGGCCUACUUCGAUGAGAAAGCGAAGGAAGAUCCAGAUUUCUUCUACAGGAUAAGAUUGGACGAUGAGGACCAUGUCAGGAACAUGUAUUGGGUGGAUGGUGCUGCAAGAAGAGCCUACAAACAUUUCCGAGAUUGCACUUCAUUCGACGCGACAUAUCUCACUAAUAUGUACAAGAUGCCAUGCGCUCCAUUCAUAGGAAUAAAUAACCACAACACGUAUGGGUACACUUGGCUGUUCAAGACCUUCUUGGAGUGCAUGGAUGGACUUGCUCUGAUGAACAUAAUAACAGACCAGGAUUUUAGCAUGCGUGCAGGCAUAGAGGAGGUCUUUCCGUUGGCAGUGCACAGGCACUAUAGGUGGCACAUUAUAAAGAAGGCUGAGGAGACGCUAGGACCAUUCUUUGCUACUACGCAGCGCAGCGAGGGGUUCAAUGUUGUUUUGAAGCGGUACGGCGGCAUUGUGUGCUGUCACAUACUAAAAGUAAUGGGCAUGAACGCGGUGACACGUAUGCCCAGCCAUUUCAUAAGGCGGCGAUGGACUUGGGACGCUGACGACGCAUUGGCGCUGCAGACAACAAACGCAGUUUUGGCUGUGCAUGACGAGAGACCGGAGUCAACCAUGGAAGCCAUGAGGCACGUUGUGUUGACAAAGAACUAUGCUGAACUAAUUGAUGACGCGUGA